rnacentral:tRNA from 1 species
GGGGUUGUGGCUCAGUGGUUGAGCACUUGCCUGGUGUGUGUGAGGCACUGAGUUUGAUCCUCAGCACCACA